UACAGAGGCCUCGAGCGUUAGGCGGAAUCACUGGGCUUAAAGCGUGUGUAGGUGGAUGCCUAAGUACCUUGUGAAAUCCCACGGCUUAACCGUGGAACUGCUGGGUAUACUGGGCGUCUUGAGCCACUCAGGGGCUACCGGAACAAGCGGUGGAGCGGUGAAAUGCGUAGAUAUCGCUUGGAACGCCAAUGGUGAAAACAGGUAGCUGGGGGUGUGCUGGACACUGAGACACGAAAGCCAGGGGAGCAA
rnacentral:rRNA from 1 species